CUCCCCCUCCUCUCCCUUGCUGCCCACACUGAGGGCUCAGCCCAGAACAGGGGGGUUCUGAGUCCCAGCACACACAAUUGGGGCAGGGUCAGCUCUCACCCAGCAGCACCCCCAGGUCUUACCUGGCAGAAAUUCCCUCUAUUUUCCUAGGGAAUAAUGGAGUGAUAGACACUGGUGUUGCAGUGAAGAUGGCUGAAGAGAAGGAAAGCUGCAAACCCUCAAGAAGUUUCCCCUUCAGUGCCUGUUUUUAAGGGUUAGGCAUCUCCACCAUGAGCUGAAGCAGAUAUGAAAGGCCCUUGGUCAGGGGCUAUGAUUGCUUGCAAAGAUACCCACAGGUAACGGGAUUUGAACUGCCUGUUCCUUGACUUCUCUCUCUGCCCCUAUAGUAGCUGCAUUAAUUUUUAUCUUUAAACAUUCUUGCUAUGCAAAAAAAUCCCCACUGAUGUUACCACCUCUGAGUCAUGCCAGCAUAUUUGUGUGCUGGUAUAUUUUAGGAGCAAAGCUGGUGGAGUUCAAUAAGUAUAAAGCAGGACUUGAUAAGCAAGGUUAAAUUCCUUUCCUCAGGCUUGGAGGAUAUAUCAGUGUUGUCAGCCUGAUAGAUCAUAGAAUAUACAAUUGUGAAACCUCCUGAGCUGGAAGGAACCUACAAGGAUCACCGAGGCCAGCCCUUAGUGCUGCACAGCUCCAAGAAGGUACGCUGUCCUUUGCUUCAGAUCUGUUCUUACCCCUACAGGCACUUGGAGACCUUAUCUGCUAAAUGACAGACUCAUAUAUCACAUCUGUCUUCUCCUCUCAGGCUGUUGCACAACUAAUGACCACUGAUAUGGGAUUAAAGCAGUGUUGGAUCACCCAGCAGGACCACUGGAAACAAGGCAUCACCCUGAAAGAAGGUGUACACAGGAGCUUGUGGUGGAAAUGA
rnacentral:lncRNA from 1 species